AAUGGAUGACUCAAUUCAAUCAAACACCAAAUGGGAAAGUGAUAUCAGAUUUGAUGGGAGGGAGGUCAUGCUGGAGCAAUUUUGCAAACAACGGCAAUUACUGCUCAUAAAACAAUCUGGUGUUGUCAAAUACUCUUCCAGAGGAAUAACUGCGAUACAUCAAGUCAUCUUUAAGCCUUCCUCAUGAGAGUAUUCUGAAGAAAAACUGUCGGCAAAAAUAAUGUUGGCUCAUUAUCUGUGCUGAAGAACACGACGGAGAGGGAUGGCAGUGGAUCUGGGAACAGCAGGACGUAAUGGCUCCUAAAGGAUAUCUACACAUAAUAACCCAGAGUGAGUGACCGCGAUCCAGUGGUGCUCCACAUGCCAAAGUCAAAAUGUUCAUUUGGCCGUGUCUGUGCUAAACAUCUGCAUGGCGGCAGCUUCGGUGUGUGUGUCUGUGUUUUAUGUGACCGAUGAUGAGACACACAAGCCUACCCCUGGCUGAUGGUGUUGGCCACCAGAAUGUGGUAUAAUCUUUCAGCCCUACCAGGACAGAGGUUGGGACGUGUGCACUGGGCUGUCUUUUUAUUAUAAGACCCCAUCCCCCACUACCACUAAUGCUGAUUUUUUUGGACAAAUUUAUGAAAUAUCUCUCAAAUGAAAAGAGAUGUGAGCGUAAGAGUUUCGCUCAUAUUCUACAAUAUACAACUAAUCAGAAUAAUCGUGUGUGCUCUCAUGUCUGACGCACAUCACCAUCAGCGCAAAGUUUUCAACAGCAUAUUGUAUUAUAUCGUAACAUUGCACAACAGAUUAAAAUAAGGUAGCCUAAUUAAACUAUUUAGGCUUAUUCUGUUUCAACCCGUCAAACGAAAAGCCGACAGCAGCUAUUUCGUCUGAUACAUGGGCUGGGGCAUUGCUCCCAACUUGUUUGUCCUUGUAAUCGUAAUGAAAUGUUAUUUAGUACCCUUUUUAUGCAUAGUAUGUGUAACAUUUUGCUCUCAAUCAUCAAUCUGCUUAUAUUUUCUCUCCCGUUUCAUGACACUUAUUUUUAAUCAGUUUAAUUAAUUUGUAAGUAGUCAGCGUAGGGCAAAAGCAAUUAGAUUAGAACACUGUGGUAUUGCUUGAGGAAACUCCCGUCAACAUUUUGCGCUGCGUUCUGCUGCUUGCAGUAGAGACAAGUACGAGGAGAACCUGGGCUGAGGAGGACCAUGACCUUGUGGCAGAGAGCCCGUUGGGGACGCACGGUGCAUCCCUGUGCCUAUUUUACCAUGUUGUGUGGGAUAACAUCUCGCGGCAGCUCUACUCAGUCUGGGUAGGCUUCACAACAUUGCGGAGUAGCAUGGCUACAGUGGGCAGAGUGGAGCGUGUGGUCCACUCACUCUUCCCAUCGAGAAGCCUCAGCUCAGGGGCUCUGUCAUAGAAUCACUGCAAAUCGAUCUCUUCACUGAGAGGAAUCAGUUAUUUCACAAGGGGCCGUAUCCAUUUUAGAAAAAGCUAUCGGCCUCAUGCAUAAACAGUGCAACACCAUGGCUCUGGGGCCCACGAUGGCGACUGGAGAACAUCCUUCUGGAGAUCAGAGCAGAGGCCAACUGCAAACGAUAAUAAAGCACAAUAGUACUUGACAGUAUUUCAAAAACUAAAAUGAAUUGUACAUGAACG
ensembl:lncRNA